rnacentral:ncRNA from 1 species
CAUCGUGAGGUGGAAUCUGAAGGAAGCUGUAAGCAAAGUCUCGGUCUGACGGACAGGAACUACAUACGAAGGCUGGAAUAAUCUGGGCGAGCUUACUAUACAAAGCAAAGCCCAAUAACUAUCCGGAGGUUAUUUUAGUAAAUGUAGCAGAUAUAUGAGAUGAAAGUUAU